ACUACGGGUGGCAGCAGUGGGGAAUAUUGCGCAAUGGGCGAAAGCCUGACGCAGCGACGCCGCGUGAGGGAUGAAGGUCUUCGGAUCGUAAACCUCUGUCAGCAGGGAAGAACGGUCACUGUGCUAAUCAGCAGUGAAUUGACGGUACCUGCAUAGGAAGCACCGGCUAACUCCGUGCCAGCAGCCGCGGUAAUACGGGGGGUGCGAGCGUUAAUCGGAAUUACGGGGCGUAAAGCGCUCGUAGGCGGUAUGGUAAGUCAAUGGUGAAAUCCCCGCGCUCAACGUGGGAACUGCCGUUGAAACUGGAAAACUGGAGUGUGUGAGAGGAUAGUGGAAUUCCAGGUGUAGGAGUGAAAGCCGUAGAUAUCUGGAGGAACAUCAGUGGCGAAGGCGACUAUCUGGCACAUAACUGACGCUGAGGAGCGAAAGCGUGGGUAGCAAACAGGAUUAGAUACCCCUGUAGUC
rnacentral:rRNA from 1 species